rnacentral:lncRNA from 1 species
UGUUGCUUUCCAGGUUUGAACUGGUCUAGAAAGAGAGUUUGCAUUCCCAGUGAAGGCCCAAUAUGAGAUAUGGGAAGCUUCUCUAAGCUGAACGUAGGCCAACAAGAACCAACCUGAGGCUCCUAUUCAUACCACAUCUUCUAGGAAAUGGUCCAAGAAGACCACGGAGCCGAAAACCUCGGAGGACGUCUUGAGCGAGGAAGAGGAUAAGAGUGACAUGGUAGAUUCCAAAGCGAUGUGGUGCCAUUGUACAACUAUUUUAAAUCGUUUUUCAUGUGUUCAUCUGUAAAUGUCAAAUCAUCACCCUUUUGACAACAUCAAUAUCAAUCUAAUAAAAGGGACCAAAUUGAGUC